GACGAACGCUGGCGGCGUGCCUAAUACAUGCAAGUAGAACGCUGAAGGAGGAGCUUGCUCUUCUGGAUGAGUUGCGAACGGGUGAGUAACGCGUAGGUAACCUGCCUGGUAGCGGGGGAUAGCUAUUGGAAACGAUAGCUAAUACCGCAUAACAGUAGAUGUUGCAUGACAUUUACUUAAAAGGUGCAAUUGCAUCACUACCAGAUGGACCUGCGUUGUAUUAGCUAGUUGGUGGGGUAACGGCUCACCAAGGCGACGAUACAUAGCCGACCUGAGAGGGUGAUCGGCCACACUGGGACUGAGACACGGCCCAGACUCCUACGGGAGGCAGCAGUAGGGAAUCUUCGGCAAUGGACGGAAGUCUGACCGAGCAACGCCGCGUGAGUGAAGAAGGUUUUCGGAUCGUAAAGCUCUGUUGUAAGAGAAGAACGAGUGUGAGAGUGGAAAGUUCACACUGUGACGGUAUCUUACCAGAAAGGGACGGCUAACUACGU
rnacentral:rRNA from 1 species